GACCUCGUAGCUCAAGAGGCUAGAGCGUUGGCUGUACUAAAGCGUUCACCUUGCUGGCGUGGGUUGGAAUCCCACCGACGUCG
rnacentral:tRNA from 1 species